rnacentral:pre_miRNA from 7 species
GUGUAAAGGAACUGAAGGACCCCCGAAGAGAGACCCUCACUCAAGUCUCGGGAAUAGCGCGCACCCAGUGAGACACCGAGACCG